rnacentral:tRNA from 1 species
GAGGGUACUCAGUGGUAGAGCAUGUGCUUAGCAUGCAUGAGGUCCUGGGUUCAAUCCCCAGCACCUCCA